GAUGUGACAUUGUUCAUAAUACUCAGGGCAAGUCUUUCCUGUGUUUGUCCCAUGAUAGGGAAUAAGUCUCUUGAGAUCUGAUGGUUUUAUGAAGAGGAGUUCUGCACAAGCUGUCUCUCUUUGCCUUUUGCCAUCCACGUAAGUGACACAAGCAGAAUCAACCUUUGGAAGAUCAUCUAUUUCCUGCUGGGUUGACUGGAAUGUGUGAUACGACCUAAGUAACUGACAGCCUGUGUGCAGAGUUCCUAAAUAACGAAGCCAGACCAUCAUUGCUAUGGGUGAAGCCAGGAAGUGACUGUGGAUGUGAACAAAUGUGAGAUUCAUGUACACGUCUCCAAAGACAGAGGCCACUGAUCUGGGGAGAACCUGCAGUCAUUUCACUUUCCCAUACCCAGAUGAGAGGACACCUUGAUCUGUGUUCAUCUGAUGAACUCUAAAAUCUGGACCAUAUUCUGAAGGCAAAUACCUAGGAGUGCAGUUACUGGGUCUUACAGGUGCUCGGGCUCACACCUGUAAUCUCAGCACUUUGAGAGACCAAGGAGGAAGGAUCACGUAAGGCCAAGAACUUGAUACCAGCCUGGGCAACAUAGGGAGACCACAUGUGUACACACACACACACACACACACACACACACAAUUUGUGAACAGUGGCAUCAAGAAGUGAUUAUUUAUGAACAUUGGCUAAGAAAAUUACAAAAUAAAGCAAUGUCUUCUGAGCUAACAAUACUAUAAUAAAGAUGUCAAUUAUUUAACUGUAGAAAAUACAGAGAACAUGAAAUUGUCUAUCUUAACCAUAUUUAAAAGUGCAGUGCAGUGGCAUUAAGCAUAUUCACAUGUUCUGCUAUUAUUACCGAUACUGU
rnacentral:lncRNA from 1 species